rnacentral:rRNA from 1 species
CAGUCGCCGCGGGAAUACGUAGGGUGCAAGCGUUAAUCGGAAUUACUGGGCGUAAAGCGUGCGCAGGCGGUUAUAUAAGACAGAUGUGAAAUCCCCGGGCUCAACCUGGGAACUGCAUUUGUGACUGUAUAGCUAGAGUACGGCAGAGGGGGAUGGAAUUCCGCGUGUAGCAGUGAAAUGCGUAGAUAUGCGGAGGAACACCGAUGGCGAAGGCAAUCCCCUGGGCCUGUACUGACGCUCAUGCACGAAAGCGUGGGGAGCAAACAGGAUUAGAUACCCCUGUAGCCCUGUCUCUUAUACA